UACGGAGGAUCCGAGCGUUAUCCGGAUUUAUUGGGUUUAAAGGGUGCGUAGGCGGAAAUGUAAGUCAGUGGUGAAAUCCUGCAGCUUAACUGUAGAAUAGCCGUUGAAACUGUGUUUCUUGAGUACAUUUGAGGUAGGCGGAAUGUGGUGUGUAGCGGUGAAAUGCAUAGAUAUACCACAGAACACCGAUUGCGAAGGCAGCUUACUAAACUGUCACUGAGGCUGAUGCACGAAAGCGUGGGUAUCAAACAGGAUUAGA
rnacentral:rRNA from 1 species